rnacentral:rRNA from 1 species
GACGAACGCUGGCGGCGUGCUUAACACAUGCAAGUCGAACGGUGACCCAGGGCUUGCCCUGGUGAUCAGUGGCGAACGGGUGAGUAACACGUGGGCAACCUGCCCCUGACUUCGGGAUAACUCCUCGAAGAGGAGCUAAUACCGGAUACGACCACUUCGGACAUCCGAUGGUGGUGGAAAGUUUUUCGGUCAGGGAUGGGCCCGCGGCCUAUCAGCUAGUUGGUGGGGUAAUGGCCUACCAAGGCGACGACGGGUAACCGGCCUGAGAGGGCGACCGGCCACACUGGGACUGAGACACGGCCCAGACUCCUACGGGAGGCAGCAGUGGGGAAUAUUGCGCAAUGGGCGAAAGCCUGACGCAGCGACGCCGCGUGAGGGAUGAAGGCC